AGGCUAAAAAUUCAUUGCUUUUUUUAAUUUCAUUUCUUUUCUUUUCUUUUCUCGUUUUUCUUUCUUUUAAAGGAGCGGGAACUUCUGUAAUGGUCAGUAUCUCUAGGCAAAAGGAUAGAGUUGCUCAGCAAUCAGAGACCAGGA
rnacentral:ribozyme from 14 species